rnacentral:sRNA from 1 species
GCUGGGCACAGUGGCACAUGCCUGUAAUCCCAGCCACGCAGGAGGCUGAGGCAGGAGGAUUGCAAAUUUGAGGCCAGCCUGGGCAAUUUAGUGAGACUCUGUCUCAA